UAGGGAAUCUUCCACAAUGGGCGCAAGCCUGAUGGAGCAACACCGCGUGAGUGAAGAAGGGUUUCGGCUCGUAAAGCUCUGUUGUUAGAGAAGAACACGUAUGAGAGUAACUGUUCAUACGUUGACGGUAUUUAACCAGAAAGUCACGGCUAACUACGUGCUAG
rnacentral:rRNA from 1 species